CUUGUGGCCAGACAUGUGGUACGUACCUGCACCCGCGCGCUCCCUUUCUUCAAUUGUCACAAUGACCGGCGCUGAUCGCCUGCUGUCCUACGCGCGAAAAACACCAAAUGCUACUUAGGAGUACAUACCAGGGUACGUCGUGCAGCUAGCUAUUGUGACCUUAAGUUCACUGAACCCGCAUUCUUGACACAUCAGCUAAACAGCUGAAUGACUGAACCUGUAGCCUAUAGGUGCUGGCUUGAGAAAUCAAGCGCCCUAAAGGCCGUCUAGUGCAACUACUACUGAUCUUUUAUGCUAGCUAUAGAGGAAUACUGGUGUAACUCUCAAUGUCAUACUAAUUUCGUCCCUCGACUCUGACAAAAAAAAGGGAAAAUUUGGGAAUUAAAUUCACACAAUUAAAUUUGAGAAAUCUCAUCUUUAUUCUCUACUUCUGUAGCUAAAUUUUGUUUCGAGGGAGCUGAUUUCUUUCCAGAUGAAAAUUAGGAACAAUAAGGGUUUCGAGCCAUACAUUUAACAGCCAGUGCUGGUGGCAAUCCUGUCUAACCAAGUUCAUUCUUAACUGCUUCUGCUACGGGUUGGUGAGUUGGUGUAUGCUGAAACUUACACAUAUUUUUUCAUUUUUUGAACCUAAAAUCAAAUCUGCAUUCUUGCUGUAUGACUGAAUCCAUGCGUGCUGGCUUCAGAAAUUAAGCUUGCCAAGUCCAUAAUUGUGCAACUGCUACUGCUACUGCUUGAUCUAUAUAUGCUAGCUAUACAUAGAGGAAUAGCGUUGCGCCUCUCAAGGCAAACUAAUUUUGGUGCCUCGACAAAAUGGUCUUGACAAAGAAAAUUAAGAAAUUCACACAAUUCAAGUACUUGUUCAACCUGCAAAGUUUGCAAAGUCUGAACUUUGCUCUAUACUUCUGCAGUCACAUAUUCUUUCAGCACUGACCUCUUUCCAAAUGAAAUAUUAGCUGGGGACAGUAAAGGUCUUGAGCACUUGAGUACCCAGUGCUGGUAACAACCCUGUUUCACUCUGCUUUCGCUCUGGAACUGACAGAUAACGUCCCAUUUCCAGAACCUAAAAUUAAAUCAUCUACUCCUUUCAGUUGUUGAGUCUACCUCAGUUCAUUCUUAGUAGUAAAGUUCUUGAUAGCCGGUGCUGGUGGCAACCCUGCCCAUCUCACUUCAUUCUGGACUGCUUUUGCUAUGGGUUUGUCUAUGCUGAAACUGAUACAAAAUUUCCCAUUUCUAGAUCCUAAAAUCAGAUCUGUUUCUUCUUUUUCAAUCACUGAUUCUCAGUUCUGCAGUAAUACUUGUUCAUCUGAUAUUAUGCGUGCGUGUGUAUGUGCAGAGCAUGAGAUGGCCAAAGUUGUUCUGGAUCUCAGUGUGUGCUCCCUUGGCGUCCGUCAUCGUAUCCACCCUGCUCGUCUUCCUGUUCAAAGCGCAGAACCAUGCCAUCAGCAUCGUAGGAGAACAACAAAGACUGAGCUUCCGCCGCAGAUUAGGUCACUUAAAUGUGGCUUGAAUUGCCCCUCGUGGGACAAACUGCUCUUCGAUCUGACAUAUCUUGGACUUGCCAUGAAGACCGGCCUCGCCUCGUCACCGGAAUCAUCUCCCCUACAGUAUGCUAUAUAUGACCUCACACCAUAGUGAAACAAUACCCUACGCUUCAAAUUAUAUUUGAGUAGGUGCCACUGAUAAUCUGAUGCGUGCCCUGAAUUUCACUCUGACAGGAAGGAGUAGCAGUCGGUAUUUGCUUCAAUCAAGGACUACCAGGUGGAUGGCAACAAAGAGAUGAUGGCCACUGGGUUGAUGAGCAUUGUGGGCUCAUCUCCAGGAGAGGUGCGUCGAUGACCCGUCGAUAUUCAGUUGCUGAAGAAGGAAAGAUGGUGGCGAGUAGCAAGACGAAAUCAUUCACGGCUUAGUUAGUUUGUCAUGGUGUCAGAAUAGCUGAGUUGCUGUCGUGUUCAAUUUUUGUUGUGGAACAUAUCUCUCGCAGUUGGUAGUCUUGACUUUUUGUUCAUCACAAUCCUUAUUCGUCCAUUGCCAUAUAACUCUUUUAUACUGUUAUGCUGCUGGAAAUUUUAGCCAGAAAAUGGCCCAGACUUGAGUGUGUUCAUAUUGCAAUGGUAUUACUCAAAAGGGAAUAAAAUACUUGAGUGUGUUCAUAUUGCAAUGGUAUUACUCAAAAAGAGAACGAGACUAAUUAAAACUUCUCGUUAACUUACUAAUGAGCUUAAAUUGUUGACCGUGGUGAGAAAGAUAAAUUAUCCACACCACAUAUUUUCAUCGAGUGCAGAUACAAAUGAAGAAUGUGCACUUCCAGAAUCCACUAGUAACACCAUUACUCUGUUCUGUAACUGCACUUCUAACUGCAUUCGAAUCCCUACCCUACAGCAGCCACUGAUAUUUGCAUUUGAUGGAAUGAAGCUGUUAUACUUUCACUGACAGAAUUUUCAGACUCUAGCACUGGUUCUGACUGCAUAUAAUAGAUCAACUCUUGAACAUGAUGCAACUGCACUGAAGUUUUGCACACAUGACCCCGAACCCAUCUCUCUC
rnacentral:lncRNA from 1 species